rnacentral:lncRNA from 1 species
CAGUGUAUGUUCAUUUGUCGUACUACGUUUUUUGAUUGAGUUAAAUUAUUCCAACUGAUAUUGUAUGGUGAAUCUUUUAAUGUUGUUAUGUUAGACUAUUGAUUCAUAUAAGGGAAAAGGUGUCAUACCAUUAGAAGGUUAAAUACCGCCGCCAAGGCUCCGUUUUGAAGACCGUACCGUGACAUAUAAUAGUUCACUUUUAUAAAUUGCGACUUGGACGGAGAGUUGUUUCAUUGCCACUCAUACCACAUCUUGCUUUAUCUAUUUAUCCAAAUAUUUAAUGUUCACUGCGAACAAAUAUAUGAAAUAAAUGAAACAGUGGUUAGUUUCCU